GAGCGGCGGACGGGUGAGUAACGCGUGGGUAACCUGCCCUGUACACACGGAUAACAUACCGAAAGGUAUGCUAAUACGGGAUAACAUAAGAAAUUCGCAUGUUUUUCUUAUCAAAGCUCCGGCGGUACAGGAUGGACCCGCGUCUGAUUAGCUAGUUGGUGAGGUAACGGCUCACCAAGGCGACGAUCAGUAGCCGACCUGAGAGGGCGAUCGGCCACAUUGGAACUGAGACACGGUCCAAACUCCUACGGGAGGCAGCAGUGGGGAAUAUUGCACAAUGGGCGAAAGCCUGAUGCAGCAACGCCGCGUGAGCGAUGAAGGCCUUCGGGUCGUAAAGCUCUGUCCUCAAGGAAGAUAAUGACGGUACUUGAGGAGGAAGCCCCGGCUAACUACGUGCCAGCAGCCGCAGUAAUACGUAGGGGGCUAGCGUUAUCCGGAUUUACUGGGCGUAAAGGGUGCGUAGGCGGUCUUUUAAGUCAGGAGUGAAAGGCUACGGCUCAACCGUAGUAAGCUCUUGAAACUGGAGGACUUGAGUGCAGGAGAGGAGAGUGGAAUUCCUAGUGUAGCGGUGAAAUGCGUAGAUAUUAGGAGGAACACCAGUAGCGAAGGCG
rnacentral:rRNA from 1 species